CGCCCACCCCCGAGCCUCCUGGUCAGCGAAUUUGUCGCACGUUUUAGCCUCUGAGACUUUAGGCAGAAGAUGGGUUCUAGUCUAAGACUGCAAAAUCUGGGAUAGAGCGGAGAGGGAGGGGGCUGAAAGAGAACAAACCAAAGGCCAGCGUGGAGGCACGUGGCCAGUUCCUGUGGACAAUCUGUGCUUUUGACCGCAGGCGGAAGCGACUCGAGCGCUGGCCUAGGGGGCACGGCGCGUGCAGGCCGCCAGGGUCCCCACGCUUCGCGGCCAAGGAGAGGCCGGCCAGGUGGGAGGAGCAGCUGGACCGUCACCCUACUUACAAUCCAGCCAUCGACCGCACUGACCCCACCAGCCGAGCAUGAUCAGGUGAAUUCUCCGCAGUUCAGAAAACACUGGAAAGAUGAUCAUCUCAUCCUUGUUUCUGCAUAGCCCAGUGGAGAGAGGAGGGGACACCCACAGUUAUGGUAUGUUUAUGUGCCUCUUUUUACCUGCCAUCAAUAUGUCUUGCAGUAA
rnacentral:lncRNA from 1 species